GCAGGCCCCACUCCCCUCUCCUUCCUACUCCAUCAGCCCCCAGAGAGGAUGUUGCCAACCAAUACUGCAAGAGUUGCGGCCAACGUUUUGACUUCUCUCUUGAGGAGAUGCUAUCUCUGCUGGGUCACACUAAUCCAGUCAGUCAUUUUUGGCUUCCUGCUCUUGUUUGGACGAGCUAGAGCCCACUGUUUAGCCCAAGUGAGUUGUCUUUGGCAAGUCAGCUAGAAGCCUAGUAGCCUCCCCCAACCCCCUUCCAAUACCAUGGAGAGGGACAGGGCCCCCGAGCUUCCCACAUUAGAAUCCACCACUUGGGAGCAUUUCUUCCCUCACUUAACAAGCCCUAGCAUCCUAUGGUGUGCUCUGUGUGCCAGGCUCUGCGGAUGUAACGAGGACAACAAACAUGGUCCCUGCUCUCGUGAAGUUGUCCUGCAAAAAGAAGGCUCUGGUUUUAGACUUCUGUAUCCUUCAAAAUACCAGCUACCUGGCUUUUCUCACAGUGGAUCUUUAAAAACUGAUGUCGACAGAUGAGGCUGAGCAUCCAAUGUCCGACGGACCCAGAACCGAGUCCCACUUCUCCCACUGACUAGCUUUGUGACUCCAGUCAUCUUUCACCUCGUGAAACCAAAGACUUCUGAAUUAAGAACUGCGCUCUGGCCCCUUACAUGUGCCCUGCAGACUUCCCGGAGGGCUGGAUGGACAGCGGUAAGAGCAAGAGCACUGGGGUCGGAGUUUACAGAAUCCCACCGUUUAACUAGUACACUGUUAUGCGCUCAAUGAUCUUUGACAUCAAAGCCGGGCACCACCAGUGUACCUGCCCUUCUGGAGUCGCUUGUGAGGGGGUUCUAAUGAAGCACGACUCUGGGAGCCGGAGACCCCCGUGGACACGGCAGUUCAAAGGGAAUAUUUCAACAAUGAUUACAUUUUGUAAAUCUUUUUAUGAAAGAGACAGCUUAUUUCCUGCUUUUUCAUGAAAAAUAGAUUCUAUCCAUUAAAGUGAGCCCGCACCACGGAAGCUGCUUUUGAGAUCUGAGGUGCAGCGUGGGGAUUAAGAGGACAAGGACCCAAUGAAAUCGUCCAGAGUUCCUACCUAUUUGGCCGUGAUGGCACUGCCAAAUGUUCUGGGUGGAGCCAAGACGGUGCACCGGGCGGCUCGGCCACGGAAAAUGCGGUGACAACGGUGUUUUGCCACUGAUUUUUUUCACCUAAGGCCCUGUUGUCUAUUACUUGUUCUUUUUAACUUUUUUGAUUCCACUAAGUCCAACCAAAUAUCAGAAGGCAUCAGGCAACCCCUUCUACUGUACAAAAGCAAGAUGAAAGAUUUUAGAGUUACAGAUCCAUCAAAUGCUGUGUUUCCAUGCUCUGAAAUGAGACGGCCCCUUUUCCAUAUGGGAAAUUAGCCAUAAAAAAAAAAAAAGCUAGUUCUGGUCUGAAGAUACAAUACAGGCUUUAUUACGGGCUACAUGUCUGCCCCAAAGGCAAAAA